AGUCGAACGCGAAAGGGGGCAACCCUGAGUAGAGUGGCGAACGGGUGAGUAAUGCAUCGGAACGUGUUCUGUAGCGGGGGACAACCCCGAGAAAUCGGGGCUAAUACCGCAUACGUCCUACGGGAGAAAGUGGGGACCGCGAGGCCUCACACUAUAGGGGCGGCCGAUGCCGGAUUAGCUAGUUGGUGAGGUAAGAGCUCACCAAGGCGACGAUCCGUAGCUGGUCUGAGAGGAUGAUCAGCCACACUGGGACCGAGACACAGCCCAGACUCCUACGGGAGGCAGCAGUGGGGAAUUUUGGACAAUGGGCGCAAGCCUGAUCCAGCCAUGCCGCGUGAGUGAAGAAGGCCUUCGGGUUGUAAAGCUCUUUCGGCCGGGACGAAAUCGCUUUCGCUAAUAUCGGGAGUGGAUGACGGUACCGGAAUAAGAAGCACCGGCUAACUACGUGCCAGCAGCCGCGGUAAUACGUAGGGUGCGAGCGUUAAUCGGAAUUACUGGGCGUAAAGCGUGCGCAGGCGGUUUCGCAAGUCAGAUGUGAAAGCCCCGGGCUUAACCUGGGAACUGCGUUUGAAACUACGAAGCUAGAGUACGGCAGAGGGAGGUGGAAUUCCAAGUGUAGCAGUGAAAUGCGUAGAUAUUUGGAGGAACACCGAUGGCGAAGCAGCCUCCUGGGCUAGUACUGACGCUCAUGCACGAAAGCGUGGGGAGCAAACAGGAUUAGAUACCCUGUAGUCCACGCCCUAAACGAUGGCAACUAGUUGUUGGGGAUACAUCCUUAGUAACGCAGCUAACGCGUGAAGUUGCCCGCCUGGGGAGUACGGUCGCAAGAUAAAACUCAAAAAUUGACGGGGGCCCGCACAAGCGGGGGAGUGGUUUAAUUCAUGCAACGCGAAAAA
rnacentral:rRNA from 1 species